rnacentral:misc_RNA from 1 species
AAAGUUGUAACAAGGUUUCCGUAGGUAAACUUGCAGAAGGAUCAUUACUGAUUUGGCGAACUGAGCUUCAGCGAGGUUCUGCGAUCACUUGUAUUUAAAACUCACACUUUGAACAUAUAUGUAUAUUUUUGUAUUUUUAAUAAUAAAAGAUCACUUUCAACAACGGAUCUCUUGGCUCUC